GACGAACGCUGGCGGCGUGCUUAACACAUGCAAGUCGAACGGAAAGGCCCUGCUUUUGUUGGGUGCUCGAGUGGCGAACGGGUGUGUAACACGUGAGUAACCUGCCCUUGACUUUGUGAUAACUUCAGGAAACUGGGGCUAAUACCGGAUAGGAGCUCCUGCUGCAUGGUGGUGGUUGGAAAUUUUCGGCGGUUGGGGAUGGACUCGCGGCUUAUCAGCUUGUUGGUGGGGUAGUGGCUUACCAAGGCUUUGACGGGUAGCCUGCCUGAGAGGGUGACCGGCGACAUUGGGACUGAGAUACGGAGCAGACGCCAAUGGGAGGCAGCAGUGGGGAAUAUUGCACAAUGGGCGGAAGCCUGAUGCAGAAACGCCGCGGGCGGGAUGAAGGCCUUCGGGGUGUAAACCGCUGUCGCCUGUGACGAAGCGUGAGUGACGGUAAUGGGUAAAGAAGCACCGGCUAACUACGUG
rnacentral:rRNA from 1 species